AGAAGGCAGAAACAGUCGAGCCCAAGACCUGUUCUCCCAGAGAUUAUCUGGAAAUGUUUAUCUUUCCAGUUCUGCUCCCCGGAAUGGCCAACUUGCUUCACCAAGCAAAAAGAGAAAAAUGUUUUGAGAGGAAGAGAACCAAAUUCAUUGCCUGCGAUUUCCUGACUGAGUGGCUGUACAACCAGAAUCCAAAGAGGGCAGGGGAGCCAUUCACAGAAUUCUUCUCCAUUCCAUUUGUGGAGGAAUGGCUCGCGGACCAGGUACCUUGGAGCAGGAAGAACAGAGAAGUCAGCAGGAACCAGAAUCCUUCAGACACAUGAGGACAGGAACUGGGAAACAACCUCGAGGCCAAGUGUUUAGACCUCAGCUGUGUGGGGAGCUUUGCUGGGCGUUGUAAUGUUGGCAGUAUUGUUGCCCUUUCCCUAUUAGAUGCCAGUGGCGCCCCCAAACCCUACAAUUUAAAUAUUCUAGCACAUCUGCAGACAGAUGAAUGCCUCACAGCUGCAGGUGAGGCAGACUGCACCAGCUGAUACCCUCUGAUCUAAACCUGUGGUUUUCUACCUUGACUGCAUUUUAAAAUCAUCUGCAAGCCAGGGCUGGAGAGAUGGCUCAGCCAUUAGAGGCUAAGCUCACAAAAAAAAAAUAAGUAAAUAAAAUCUUGAACG
rnacentral:lncRNA from 1 species